rnacentral:rRNA from 1 species
CCCUUAGAUGUUCUGGGCCGCACGCGCGCUACACUGAUGCAUUCAACGAGCACCCGCUGGGCCGAGAGGUCCGGCUAAUCUUUGAACGUGCAUCGUGCUGGGGAUAGAUGAUUGCAAUUAUUCAUCUUCAACGAGGAAUUCCUAGUAAACGCAAGUCAUCAGCUUGCAUUGAUUACGUCCCUGCCCUUUGUACACACCGCCCGUCGCACCUACCGAUUGAAUGGUCCGGUGAAAUUCUCGGACGCGGACUUGCGAUGUUAAUUCGGAGCUUGACUGUGAAAGUUAAUUAAACCUUACCAUUUAGAGGAAGGAGAAGUCGUAACA